AUGUCGGGAGGCCAAGAAGGCGGCGAGGACUCAGAUCACAUCAUGGACCUAGGUGAAGAUCAGAAUUCCUUUAAAACCAAAAGGUCAAGAGCCACAAAUUGGCCCUCAGUAAUGUCAAAGUUUCUACUUAAUUGGUACCUUGAGAAAAAGAAGGCGAUGCCACCUAAGACCAAAUUCAAGAAGACACACCACCAUUAUUGCCAAGCUGCACUAAAUGCUAGAUUUGAGUCUGCUUACACUGUUGAUCAGGUCCAUCGCCAUUUGAGGCGUUUCAAGGAGGUUUGGAAUAUUGUGGCGCGUUAUAUGAACGAGAACGGGAGCAGGUUUGACAAGAAAAACAAAAUGUUAAUACUACCUUCUGCAACCAUGGCUGCUCUACCUUUAGCAGAACGUGCUAUUCUCGUUAAACCUAUUCCAUUCUUCGACCAUUUGCAAGCUCUCUUCAGCGAUUGCCCAGUUGAUGGUGCCUCUAUGACAGACCUGUUGACAGAUGCUGACUUAAAUGAUGAUCAGAUGGAAACCCAGGAUCCGUUGAACAUGAUGGUUGUUCAUGCAGACACAGGGGACCCACACGAGGCAGGCUUGGACAAAGUUGUUUUGGGGGGUGAAGAUGAGUGUCAUGAGGUUGCAGUUAUUAGCGCUGUUGGUACAGUACCAUGUGAAGUUAUGUCAGGCACUAGUGCACCAUCUGCUGAACCAUCAGGAUCUGCUGAGAGCACAAUAGCUGCUCUCAAACCCAGCUUGAAGCAGUGCAAGAUAGUCAGCAAAGCAAAAGCAAAUCCAAAGCCACAGGCUGUUGCGCUACAUGAUAGCAGGAAACCAGACGCGUUCAACAGGAACUUAAUGGGGAUCCAUGACAGACUCGCUAAACCAACACGGACAGCACCACCACUGUCAGACCCAAAUGCUCCUCUGUGGAACAUGCUAAAGGAAAUUCCGUUGACACCUGCUGAUAGGCUGUCAGUAGGCAUUUAUCUUUGUAAGCCAGAGUUUGAAGUGCAUCGAAGUUUUUUCAUGAGUAUGGGUAAGGAGUACCUAGAGGCAUGGGCCCACAAGUUCUUGAGUGGAGGGGAGCCUGGAGCCUUGUAG
rnacentral:rRNA from 1 species